AGAACUCAACGCUGGCGGCGUGCCUAACACAUGCAAGUCGAACGAGAAAGUGGAGCAAUCCAUGAGUAAAGUGGCGCACGGGUGAGUAACACGUGACUAACCUACCCUUGAGUGGGGAAUAACUUCGGGAAACCGAGGCUAAUACCGCAUAACACCUACGGGUCAAAGGAGCAAUUCGCUUAAGGAGGGGGUCGCGGCAGAUUAGUUAGUUGGCAGGGUAAUGGCCUACCAAGACGGUGAUCUGUA
rnacentral:rRNA from 1 species